GACAGAGGGUGCAAACGUUGUUCGGAAUUACUGGGCGUAAAGGGCGCGUAGGCGGCCUUCUAAGUCGAACGUGAAAUCCCUGGGCUCAACCCAGGAACUGCGUCCGAUACUGGAAGGCUUGAAUCCGGGAGAGGGAUGCGGAAUUCCAGGUGUAGCGGUGAAAUGCGCAGAUAUCAGGAGGAACACCAAUGGCGAAGGCAGCUCGCUGGGACGGUACUGACGCUGAGGCGCGAAAGCGUGGGGAGCAAACAGG
rnacentral:rRNA from 1 species